GCCUGGGUGGCUCAGUCGGUUGAGCGUCCGACUUCGGUUCAGGUCAUGAUCUCACGGUCUGUGAGUUCGAGCCCCAUGUCAGGCU
rnacentral:tRNA from 1 species